rnacentral:rRNA from 1 species
AUUGAACGCUGGCGGCAGGCCUAACACAUGCAAGUCGAACGAGUGGCGGACGGGUGAGUAAUGUCUGGGAAACUGCCCGAUGGAGGGGGAUAACUACUGGAAACGGUAGCUAAUACCGCAUACUAUCGGAUGUACCCAUAUGGGAUUAGCUAGUAGGUGGGGUAACGGCUCACCAAGGCGACGAUCACUAGCUGGUUUGCGAGGAUGACCAGCCACACUGGGACUGAGACACGGUCCAGACUCCUACGGGAGGCAGCAGUGGGGAAUAUUGCACAAUGGGCGCAAGCCUGAUGCAGCCAGGCCGCGUGUAUGAAGAAGGCCUUAGGGUUGUAAAGUACUUUCAGCGGGGAGGCGUUACCCGCAGAAGAAGCACCGGCUAACUCCGUGCCAGCAGCCGCGGUAAUAC